CGGACGGGUGAGUAACACGUGAGCAACCUGCCUUCCAGAGGGGGAUAACGUUUGGAAACGAACGCUAAUACCGCAUAACAUAUAUUUAUCACAUGGUAGAUAUAUCAAAGGAGCAAUCCGCUGGGAGAUGGGCUCGCGUCCGAUUAGAUAGUUGGCGGGGUAACGGCCCACCAAGUCAACGAUCGGUAGCCGGACUGAGAGGUUGAACGGCCACAUUGGGACUGAGACACGGCCCAGACUCCUACGGGAGGCAGCAG
rnacentral:rRNA from 1 species